rnacentral:rRNA from 1 species
UACGUAGGGUGCAAGCGUUGUCCGGAAUUAUUGGGCGUAAAGAGCUCGGUAGGCGGUCUGUCGCGUCGGCUGUGAAAACCCGGAGCUCAGCUCCGGGCCUGCAGUCGAUACGGGCAGACUGGAGUUCGGCAGGGGAGACUGGAAUUCCUGGAUGUAGCGGUGAAAUGACGCAGAGUAUCAGGAGGAACACCGGUGGCGAAGGCGGGUCUCUGGGCGAGUAACUGACGCUGGAGGAGCGAAAGCGUGGGGAGCGAACAGG